rnacentral:rRNA from 1 species
CAGUAGCCACGGUAACACGAAGGGGGCUAGCGUUGUUCGGAUUUACUGGGCGUAAAGCGCACGUAGGCGGAUCCUUAAGUCAGAGGUGAAAUCCCAAGGCUCAACCUUGGAACUGCCUUUGAUACUGGGGAUCUCGAGUUCGGGAGAGGUGAGUGGAACUGCGAGUGUAGAGGUGAAAUUCGUAGAUAUUCGCAAGAACACCAGUGGCGAAGGCGGCUCACUGGCCCGAUACUGACGCUGAGGUGCGAAAGCGUGGGGAGCAAACAGGAUUAGAGACCCCAGUAGUCCCUGUCUCUUAUAA